CCCCUCACUGAGUCACGCAUGGAGAGUUUCCAGUACUCUACCAGUCUUGGUUACAGGAGGGAGAGUCAAGCAGAGGCAUACCCAUUCCAGUCCUAGCUUGGACAGUAGCUAGCGAGUGGCAGGCAAUCUGCUACAAGU
rnacentral:snoRNA from 1 species